AACGAACGCUGGCGGCAUGCCUAACACAUGCAAGUCGAACGAGACCUUCGGGUCUAGUGGCGCACGGGUGCGUAACGCGUGGGAACCUGCCCUUAGGUUCGGAAUAACUCCCCGAAAGGGGUGCUAAUACCGGAUAAUGUCUUCGGACCAAAGAUUUAUCGCCUUUGGAUGGGCCCGCGUUGGAUUAGCUAGUUGGUAGGGUAAAAGCCUACCAAGGCGACGAUCCAUAGCUUGUCUGAGAGGAUGGUCAGCCACACUGGGACUGAGACACGGCCCAGACUCCUACGGGAGGCAGCAGUGGGGAAUAUUGGACAAUGGGCGAAAGCCUGAUCCAGCAAUGCCGCGUGAGUGAUGAAGGCCGUAGGGUUGUAAAGCUCUUUUACCCGGGAUGAUAAUGACAGUACCGGGAGAAUAAGCUCCGGCUAACUCCGUG
rnacentral:rRNA from 1 species